rnacentral:rRNA from 1 species
AUUGAACGCUGGCGGCAUGCUUUACACAUGCAAGUCGGACGGCAGCACAGAGAAGCUUGCUUCUUGGGUGGCGAGUGGCGAACGGGUGAGUAACAUAUCGGAACGUACCGAGCAGUGGGGGAUAACUAUUCGAAAGAUUAGCUAAUACCGCAUAUCUUCUGAGGAAGAAAGCAGGGGACCAUUUGGCCUUGCGCUGUUUGAGCGGCCGAUAUCUGAUUAGCUAGUUGGUGGGGUAAAGGCCUACCAAGGCGACGAUCAGUAGCGGGUCUGAGAGGAUGAUCCGCCACACUGGGACUGAGACACGGCCCAGACUCCUACGGGAGGCAGCAGUGGGGAAUUUUGGACAAUGGGCGCAAGCCUGAUCCAGCCAUGCCGCGUGUCUGAAGAAGGCCUUCGGGUUGUAAAGGACUUUUGUCAGGGAAGAAAAGGGCGGGGUUAAUACCCCUGUCUGAUGACGGUACCUGAAGAAUAAGCACCGGCUAACUACGUG